rnacentral:rRNA from 1 species
UGCGUAACGCGUGGGAAUCUGCCCUUGGGUUCGGGAUAACAGUUGGAAACGACUGCUAAUACCGGAUAAUGACUUCGGUCCAAAGAUUUAUCGCCCAGGGAUGAGCCCGCGUAGGAUUAGCUAGUUGGAGAGGUAAAAGCUCACCAAGGCGACGAUCCUUAGCUGGUCUGAGAGGAUGAUCAGCCACACUGGGACUGAGACACGGCCCAGACUCCUACGGGAGGCAGCAGUGGGGAAUAUUGGACAAUGGGCGAAAGCCUGAUCCAGCAAUGCCGCGUGAGUGAUGAAGGCCUUAGGGUUGUA